UAAGCGGAGGAAAAGAAACCAACCGGGAUUGCCUUAGUAACGGCGAGUGAAGCGGCAAAAGCUCAAAUUUGAAAUCUGGUACCUUCGGUGCCCGAGUUGUAAUUUGGAGAGGGCAACUUUGGGGCCGUUCCUUGUCUAUGUUCCUUGGAACAGGACGUCAUAGAGGGUGAGAAUCCCGUGUGGCGAGGAGUGCGGUUCUUUGUAAAGUGCCUUCGAAGAGUCGAGUUGUUUGGGAAUGCAGCUCUAAGUGGGUGGUAAAUUCCAUCUAAAGCUAAAUAUUGGCGAGAGACCGAUAGCGAACAAGUACAGUGAUGGAAAGAUGAAAAGAACUUUGAAAAGAGAGUGAAAAAGUACGUGAAAUUGUUGAAAGGGAAGGGCAUUUGAUCAGACAUGGUGUUUUGUGCCCUCUGCUCCUUGUGGGUAGGGGAAUCUCGCAUUUCACUGGGCCAGCAUCAGUUUUGGUGGCAGGAUAAAUCCAUAGGAAUGUAGCUUGCCUCGGUAAGUAUUAUAGCCUGUGGGAAUACUGCCAGCUGGGACUGAGGACUGCGACGUAAGUCAAGGAUGCUGGCAUAAUGGUUAUAUGCCGCCCGUCUUG
rnacentral:rRNA from 1 species